rnacentral:tRNA from 1 species
UGGGAGAUCGUCUAACGGUAGGACGUCUGCCUUUGAAGCAGAAAAUUUAGGUCCGAUUCCUAGUCUCCCAGCCA